AUGGACUUAUUUUGAGUCAUUUGCCAAAUGGUCCAACUGCUCAUUUUAAAAUGAGUAGUGUUCGUCUUCGUAAAGAAAUUAAGGUGAGUCUUAUAUACUCCUUGAUCAAUGUUAUCAAUAAUCCUUAAAGUUAUAAUUGAUUCUACUUAUUUGGUCUGAUGACAGUAGGUUUUCUGAGAUUUUGUGAGACCAUAAAUAGUUCUGACAACAGUAGCCCUCAUUACCAUGAACAUUGAUUUUAUAGGAAGAUUUGAGUAUUACUAAGCCAUCUGUUACAUUUUUGUCUCUUUAAAGUUUUUAAAAGCCGCGAUUGGUAGUUCCUAUCUAUAAACCCAGCACAUGGGGGGCUGAGGCAGUAGGAGCACUGAGUUUUAGGAAAGUCUGAACUAAGAAGUUACAAGCAUUCUGAGCCAGAGAGAGACCCUGUGCCACAAAACAAAUUUUUUAAUGUUGUCUAAAUUCUAAACCCAAAAGUUAUGUUGUAAAGUUUCUCUAAUUAUCUUUUCUGGGCCUUAUCUUCCCAGCGACGAGGCAAAGACCCCACAGAACAUGUACCUGAGAUAAUUCUAAACAACUUUACCACACGGCUAGGUCACUCUAUCGGACGUAUGUUUGCUUCUCUCUUUCCUCAUAACCCUCAAUUUAUUGGAAGACAAGUUGCCACGUUCCACAAUCAGCGGGAUUACAUCUUCUUCAGGUUUCACAGAUACAUAUUCAAGAGUGAAAAGAAGGUGGGAAUUCAGGAACUUGGACCACGUUUUACCUUAAAAUUACGAUCUCUGCAGAAGGGAACCUUUGAUUCCAAGUAUGGAGAGUAUGAAUGGGUCCAUAAGGUAUGUGCUUAUUGUUCCAAAGCCAUAUAACUGUAGGUUUACAUAGUAAGGUGUUUCUUCCCCCAUGAACUACAAAGUACCAACAUGAUGUAGUG
rnacentral:lncRNA from 1 species